UGAUAAAGAGAGGAAUUAAACCAAUGUGUACAGGACUACAGCCUGCCGCCUAACACUCGGCCACUUUACCU
rnacentral:tRNA from 1 species